rnacentral:rRNA from 1 species
UACGAAGGGUGCAAACGUUGCUCGGAAUUAUUGGGCGUAAAGCGCACGUAGGCGGCUUUGCAAGUCCGAUGUGAAAUCCCUCGGCUCAACCAAGGAAGUGCAUCGGAAACUGCAGAGCUUGAGUACGAAAGAGGAUCGCGGAAUUCCCGGUGUAGAGGUGAAAUUCGUAGAUAUCGGGAGGAACACCAGUGGCGAAGGCGCUGUCCUGGACGAAGAUUGACGCUGAGGUGCGAAAGCGUGGGGAGCAAACAGG